UCUGCAUCUUUGGUAUUCUUCUCACGAGCUGGGCUGGAGACGGGCGACCGUGUGAGCGACUUGGUUCGGCGACAGGAAACGAUGAAUUGGGAGAGGCAGAAGAAGGACAAAAUUAGCUCAAGGCAGUUGGUCCAGCAUCUUCUGUGUCUGCUCAAGAAGAGCAGAUGAAGCAUGUUAUCAGGUCUCCAAGAUUGCAAGUCAAGCUGUAACGUGGUGAAGGUGUGGUACAAGACCAUUUUCAAGGCAGUAUGAAGUAGAAACCAGGAAAAAUGAUAUUUAAGGAUGGAUACGAUGCAGUCUGUGGAGUUCUGUUUCUU